GAUGGUCAUAUCACGUUGAAACACCGGUUCUCGUAUGAUCAUUGAAGUUAAGCAACGUUGAGCCUGGCCAGUGCAUAGAUGAGUGACCGCUUUGGGAUACCAGGUGCUGUAA